rnacentral:lncRNA from 1 species
ACCCAAAGUUGUGUGGAGCGGUAAGUACUUCAUCCUUGAUCACAAGGCUUAGUUCGAAUCUUGCGUAUGAAAUUAUCUUUGAAGGAGCAUUUUAAUCCUAAAGUGAAAUUUUUCGGGCCCGAAAGUAAAUAUCAGACACUAGGUAGGAAACAAAAAUAUUAUUGAAAUAGUUGAAUUUGAAGUAUAUUUAUAUGUUUAUUGGAUCAAAAUAAAGUAGUAUUUGAGUACUCAGAGAAAACAAAAAAAUAGUGAAUCAAUUAACAUUACAACAAGGAUUCGAUCUUACUGGCCAGAAGACAAGUUCCUAGAAAAAGUUAAUAUUGAUCAAGGUUUUGUGAAGGAUUUGAUAGCAUUUUUUCUGUAUUUUAGCAGAGUAUCAUGUAUGUUUUCUAAUUGUACGAAUUUGCUAAAUGAUUUUUUUUUAUGUAAAAUUACAUAUCUCGAUCGUUUAUGUUGAGAGGAAGAAUGUCUAUUGCUCAAAAUUUGAGUGGAGUUGUUUUUAAAAGUAAAGUUGGAGAAAACUAUAAUCUCCACCCGAAGUUUUAAUAUUACUCCUAAAUUAGACAAAGAUGAGGAACAUUGGAGUUUGAUUAAAAAAAGAGCGAAAAUAAAAAUAGUGAAAAUUUUUCUUAACCAAAUGGCAUUUAUGGUGUUUGCUUUGAAAAUAACUUGAGAUAAGGGUUCGAACGAGCCCGGAAGUAGAGAAGAGUAAAGGGCUUAUCCAUUAUCCAUUAAGUUUCGAACCGUGCUCCAUUGGCCUUGAAAUUUCUUGGUGAUAUAAUUAUUAGAAAAGUUUUUAACAGCUUUUUGAAAAACUUUAUCAGGAACUAUAUAUUCUUUCGCAUGUAUGUGUACAUGCAAUACACUACUCAUACACGCGUGCACAUAAGGCGCAUAAGUUUGUAUAUUGUACUUGUCACAAACUAAUAAAGUGUACUUUGUUGGUUGGUUAUUUUGUUUAUUGAUUUUAAAAUACCAAAUCCUUAGUGUCAGUGGGAUAUGUAUCUCUCUCAAGUUUCUGGAAUAAGAAAAUAUAUGAUUUAGAAGUGAAUAAUGAGUAUAGAAUAGUUGAACAAAAGAGGAUAUAGAGAUAACUUCAAAGCAAAUAUAUCGGGGGAAAAUUCUGCUUACCAGGUACAAAUUUGUGAUUUUUGAUUUAUUCUUACUCUUUCUUUUAUUUCAUAAAUUGGGAAAUAUCUAAAACAUGAAAACAGUUGGGUAUAAACUCCCUUGUUGCUAUGGUUGGCUAGAAGAAAAAUUAUUUGUGUUCUAGACUUUCAAACUUUCAAUAUGAUGACUUCUCCUCAAAGUUUCAAAUAUGUAUAUAGUGUCUAUUUCUGAACUAUGAUUUUUUCCUUUUUUGGUUUGAUGACUCUGUCAGACCAUGUGUAUUUUUUCAUUUUCAUGAAUUUCAAAAUGGAUUUAUUUUGUAUUCUAUGGUCAAGAAAUGAUAAAUGAAAGGAUGAGCAAUAGUGAGAGAUCUACUGAGCAACCUCUUCGUAGUGUUGCUUGGGACGGCAAUGUGUAUUCCCAGGUAUUGGAAUUCAAGAACUAAAUUUGUCAAAAAAAUCUUCUUAAAAGACUGGGUUAUUCCCUCGUAGUCCUUUAAGCAGAAAUGUAAUUUGAGAAUUUAGAAGUUGAAUAGAUGCAAAGUUUCUUCAAAUUAAUAAAUCAGAGAUCAUACUUUACUUGUAAUAGUCAUCUGGAGCAUGACUCUUUCAAUGUUUGGUAAAUGAAAUGAGAAGUCAUUUGUUAUAUACUCAUAUUAUACUUAGUCAACACUGUGCUGCUGGAAAGAGUGUAAAAGUCCACAAGAUAAAUUAGAUAAUAGGACAUUAAAUAAGCUUUUGUGAGGCCCCCCUCCUUGUUGACUGGGCAAAGACAGUCAGAGACAAAGAUGUAAGGAUUUUAUUGUAGUUUUUUUUUACACAACGAGAAGCUAUAAAUCAAAAGAAAAUCACAACAGCGGGCAUUAAUGAGACAAAGAGGAUUCCAAAUGUUUUCUUAGAUUUGGCUUAGUUUACCAGCAAUGGUUGCAGAAGAAAGACUACAUAUUACUGUCCUCUUCACUUAUUUCCUCUUCUGUUCGUCUCAGUUUGCUAUAUUCCAAAUUUUCUGGAACAUAAAUGCCAGUCUUUUGAAUUCCACUGCCGGACAUAACAACCUCCUCCCAAAUUGUUCUAAAAUUCUAAUCAUAUAAAAGUAUUAUUAUCUAACAUGUUAAUAUUUAUUAGAUCCCAGACGCCAAUAGUGGACAUGAACGAGUAUCACAAACAUCAAUGAUGCAUAGUUUUGCUGAAAAUGCUCAACCUUCUCACGGUACUACUCAUAUUUGUCCUUCGUCGCUACUGCUUGAGUUUUCCUCCUUUGAUUUUUUAUUAAUUUAUUGUUGUAUUUGGGUUUACCUUGGAUGCUUCUUACUUUUAUAUAUUCUCUUUUCUCACGGUUGUUAAUGUCGUAAGGUUGUGAUAAUAGUAAAUUAUUUUAAAAAUAAUAUUCUUCGUGAUAGUGAUCAUAUGUGUAAUAUGAUUUAUUUAUUCGGACAUUAUUUGUGUUUGUAAAUCAAUUCAUAGUUGCCUGCUUGAAUUAAAUUCACCUUUUCCAUAAUAGAAUGAAGUCAGAUGAAGAAAGCACUAGAAUGAUAAUCCAAGAGGUCUAUCAAAAAGUAGUUAGUUUCUUACAUUAUCAGUGCAUCUCCAUAAGCUGAAUUCUUACUUUCUCUAGUUUGCUAGUGACUGAGUAGUAGUCUUCAGGGCCAGUGAUGCGUACAUAUUAUGCUUUUCUUAAAUAGUCUUAUUAAUUAAUCCUUCUGCAAAAGGUUAUCUACACUCAAUAGCAAUAUCUCUCCAUAGACAACAAACACUAGCAAUCCUUUACCCAUUUAUGAUCAUCAGUUUGCAAAAUGAAUAGCUUUAAAUGCUUGACCAGCACAAUAUGACAUUUUAAGCUCAUCAUUUAUAUUUUGUAACUGCAACUCCUUUGAUGUAUAUAGCACCUGCCAUUAGACUUUUCCUUCUUUCUGAGCCUCUGAUUCAUUAGCGUUUUGAUUUCCACCGGGACUACAUAUAAAAUUACCCUCUGAAACUUUCUGUUGGUUCUCACUAGAAAUAUUUGAUCUUUUAAACUGCCACUAAACUUCAGAACAAGUGUUAAGUUCAUCAAUUGUUGAGAACGCUACAUCAGAAGGACAAGAAAACUCAACUAGAUUUUCCACCCACUUCACAUGUCCUUUAUCCAUCACAAUUACCAAGUCUGCAACAUAUAUUGCCUGUAAAGUAAAAGAAUAGAUUAGUAUAUGGAACAUAGGCACACUACUUUAGAUAUCUUAAAUGAAUGGUCCUUUGUAUUGGCAAUGUCCAGUCAAUUUAUUAAUAAAGAUGUUGAUCUCAACUUGUUUGGGAUUGAGGUGUAGUUGUUGUUAAUAGUUGUGCUUGAAAUUCCUAGCCUGAGAUUACUGCAUCUUUUCUAAUUAUAAAUGCAUUUCCAAUUCUUUCUUUAAUAACAUAUUACAAAACAGAAAUGCACCUUUACUUAUUAUUUAGGCAUUUCCAGUUCUUUUUUACCUAGUGUUCUCAAUAAAUGCCAACAAACAAUAGUAAAUUAUUUCACCAUCAUAAUUUGGUGCAUGAAUUAAUAUCACUCACCUUGUGACAUACAUGUUGAUAGUUGAGCAACAUGUCAUUGAGAGAAAGGACAAAUAGCACUGCAUAUAUAGAUUUUCAAAAAUGCACAAGGAUCAACUUAAGUAAAUUACAACCAUAUCUUACACGGGCACAUCCUUCUCCCAGCUCCAAAUGGCAAAAGCAUAAUUGUUUGUACAUGCAUUUUAUUCGUCUAUUAAUCCAUCUAGUUAUUUUUGCUUAUAGAUGUUAGAUGAGGGAGAUGGAUGACAAAGAAUCAAACAGUGAUGAAAUCUGCAAGAUAUUUUUUCACAUUAUAUUUUAUCUUUUGACAUAGUUAUUUUAUAAUUUUAGGUCAUACAGUCUGAUGUUCAAUAAUUUAGUGGGUGGAAGAUUUCAAAAUGAUGAAAAGCUGCGAAGAUCAUUUGAAGACCACCAUUCGCCUAGAUUAGUUAUAUAAUGACAUUAGCUAUUUAGUCCAAACGAUAAGUUUAUGUUUUAAGUUACUGUGACAUUAAUAUUUUUAUUAGUACUUUCUUUUAUUUGUUAUGAUUUGAUAAGAUAUAUUAUAUUUUUUUAAUUAAUAUAUUUUAUUAUUUGGGUCAUAUUCAAGACGAAUGUAGUAACUAUUAUUAAUGGUGG